rnacentral:rRNA from 1 species
UAAAACUCAAAUGAAUUGACGGGGGCCCGCACAAGCGGUGGAGCAUGUGGUUUAAUUCGAUGCAACGCGAAGAACCUUACCUGGUCUUGACAUCCACAGAACUUUCCAGAGAUGGAUUGGUGCCUUCGGGAACUGUGAGACAGGUGCUGCAUGGCUGUCGUCAGCUCGUGUUGUGAAAUGUUGGGUUAAGUCCCGCAACGAGCGCAACCCUUAUCCUUUGUUGCCAGCGGUCCGGCCGGGAACUCAAAGGAGACUGCCAGUGAUAAACUGGAGGAAGGUGGGGAUGACGUCAAGUCAUCAUGGCCCUUACGACCAGGGCUACACACGUGCUACAAUGGCGCAUACAAAGAGAAGCGACCUCGCGAGAGCAAGCGGACCUCAUAAAGUGCGUCGUAGUCCGGAUUGGAGUCUGCAACUCGACUCCAUGAAGUCGGAAUCGCUAGUAAUCGUGGAUCAGAAUGCCACGGUGAAUACGUUCCCGGGCCUUGUACACACCGCCCGUCACACCAUGGGAGUGGGUUGCAAAAGAAGUAGGUAGCUUAACCUUCGGGAGGGCGCUUACCACUUUGUGAUUCAUGACUGGGGUGAAGUCGUAACAAGGUAACCGUAGGGGAACCUGC